rnacentral:sRNA from 1 species
AAGAAAGUGACCCCCGCCCCGGGGAGGGGCAACGCAAAUAGACCGACACGAAUACAAGUUCAACGACAAGAAAGAAGCCUAAAGCCGCUU